rnacentral:rRNA from 1 species
AAAGUCCGCUGAACUUAAGCAUAUCAAUAAGCGGAGGAAAAGAAACCAACAGGGAUUGCCCUAGUAACGGCGAGUGAAGCGGCAACAGCUCAAAUUUGAAAGCUGGCUCUCGGGCCCGCAUUGUAAUUUGCAGAGGAUGCUUCUGGCGACGCGCCUUCCGAGUUCCCUGGAACGGGACGCCAUAGAGGGUGAGAGCCCCGUCCGGUCGUGCGCCUAGCCUCUGUGAAGCUCCUUCGACGAGUCGAGUAGUUUGGGAAUGCUGCUCAAAAUGGGAGGUAUACGUCUUCUAAAGCUAAAUACCGGCCAGAGACCGAUAGCGCACAAGUAGAGUGAUCGAAAGAUGAAAAGCACUUUGAAAAGAGAGUUAAAAAGUACGUGAAAUUGUUGAAAGGGAAGCGCUCAUGACCAGACUUGGGCUGGCCCGAUCAUCCGGCGUUCUCGCCGGUGCACUCGGGCCGCCCAGGCCAGCAUCAGCUUUCGCCGGGGGAUAAAGGCGGCGGGAAUGUGGCUCCCUCGGGAGUGUUAUAGCCCGCCGUGCAAUACCCUGGUGGGGGCUGAGGUUCGCGCGUAUGCACGGAUGCUGGCGUAAUGGUUAUCAGCGACCCGUCUUGAAACACGGACCAAGGAGUCGUCUUCGUAUGCGAGUGUUCGGGUGUCAAACCCCUACGCGGAAUGAAAGUGAACGCUGGUGAGAGCUUCGGCGCAUCACCGACCGAUCCUGAUGUUCUCGGACGGAUUUGAGUAAGAGCAUACGGGGCCGGACCCGAAAGAAGGUGAACUAUGCCUGUAUAGGGUGAAGCCAGAGGAAACUCUGGUGGAGGCUCGCAGCGGUUCUGACGUGCAAAUCGAUCGUCAAAUAUGGGCAUGGGGGCGAAAGACUAAUCGAACCUUCUUGGGGC